rnacentral:rRNA from 1 species
UACGGGGGGGGCAAGCGUUGUUCGGAAUUACUGGGCGUAAAGGGCGCGUAGGCGGCCUUCUAAGUCGAACGUGAAAUCCCUGGGCUUAACCCAGGAACUGCGUCCGAUACUGGGAGGCUUGAAUUCGGGAGAGGGAUGCGGAAUUCCAGGUGUAGCGGUGAAAUGCGUAGAUAUCUGGAGGAACACCGGUGGCGAAGGCGGCAUCCUGGACCGAGAUUGACGCUGAGGCGCGAAAGCCAGGGGAGCAAACGGG